CUUUUCACCACAGCUCAGCCCCACCUGAGGAUGGGAUGUGAGAUCAGGAUAUGAAGACAGGAUAUGAUGAGCACAAUAUGAAGACAAAGAAAAUAGAACAAGGAGAAGAGGAGACAGUUUCAAAGUUCAUAUACUGUAUGUAUUAGCUGACCUGGCUAAUCUCUGCAGAAUGGCACCAAAACUACAAAGACAUCACUGGACAGAUGGAUUGUUGGCUGAAGACGUAAGGGACAAUUCCUGGAAAAGACCAAAAAUGAUGUUGUUGACUUUGUAAUAAUAAUUUAUAUAAAAAAAAACAUUGAAUUCACAAUUAAAUGUAC